AGAUUAAUGGUAAUUCUGAGUAACUAUGUUCUGCAGGAGGGUUAUUUUGUAGUCAUUCUGUUGAUCUUCUUAUGUUAGCUCUAAAUAUAAUUGCUCGGUUUGUAACCAUUCUUUCUCAUAUAAUUACAAUGAAUAUAAUGAUUCCUACAAUAGAAAUUGUAGACCCAAUUCUUGAUACUACGUUUCAUGAUGUAUAUGUGUCUGGGUAGUCUGAGUAUCGUCGAGGUAUUCCUGCUAAUCCUAGGAAGUGUUGAGGAAAGAAUGUUAAGUUUACUCCAAUGAAUAUAAUUGUAAAUUGGAUUUUUAAUCAUGUAUUAUUUAUAGUUAAUCCUGUAAAUAGUGGAUAUCAUUGAAUGACACCUCCUAUAAUUGCAAAUACUGCUCCUAUAGAUAAUACAUAAUGAAAGUGGGCUACUACAUAAUAUGUACCAUGUAAUACAAUAUCAAGUGAUGAAUUUGCUAAUACUAAUCCUGUUAAUCCACCAGUUGUAAAUAGGAAAAUAAAUCCUAGAGCUCAUAAUAAUGGUGGAUUGAACUUGAAUUUAGUUCCAUAUAAUGUAGCUAAUGAUCUAAAUACCUUAAUUCCUGUAGGUACAGCAAUAAUUAUUGUUGCUGAUGUAAAAUAUGCUCGUGUGUCAACAUCCAUUCCUACUGUAAAUAUAUGAUGUGCUCAUACAAUAAAUCCUAUUAGUCCAAUUGAUAGUAUAGCAUAAAUUAUACCUAAUGUUCCAAAUGAUUCAAUUUUUCCUCUUUCUUGACAUACAAUAUGUGAAAUAAUUCCGAACCCCGGAAGAAUUAAAAUAUAAACUUCUGGGUGUCCAAAGAAUCAAAAUAGAUGUUGAUAUAGAAUUGGGUCACCCCCUCCUGCAGGGUCAAAGAAUGAUGUAUUUAAAUUUCGAUCUCUUAAUAAUAUAGUAAUAGCUCCUGCUAAAACUGGAAGUGAAAGAAGGAGAAGUAAUGCUGUAAUAGCUACUGAUCAUACAAAUAAAGGUGUUUGAUCUAAAGUUAUACUUUCUGAUCGUAUAUUAAUUGCUGUUGUAAUGAAAUUUACUGCACCAAGAAUAGAUGAUACACCUGCUAAGUGUAGUGAAAAAAUAGCUAGAUCUACAGAUGCACCCACAAUAGAUGAUACACCUGCUAAGUGUAGUGAAAAAAUAGCUAGAUCUACAGAUGCACCCCCGUGUGCAAUAGCUCCUGCUAGAGGAGGGUAUACUGUUCAUCCUGUACCAGCACCAUUAUCUACUAUAGAAGAUGUAAGAAGAAGGGUUAGUGAAGGUGGUAGUAAUCAAAAACUUAUAUUAUUUAUUCGUGGAAAUGCUAUAUCUGGUGCACCAAUUAUUAGUGGAACAAGUCAAUUACCAAAUCCACCUAUUAUAAUAGGUAUUACAAUAAAGAAAAUUAUUACGAAUGCGUGAGCUGUAAUAAUAACAUUAUAAAUCUGGUCAUCCCCAAUUAGAGAUCCGGGUUGACCAAAUUUAUAAUGUUAUUAUUACAGCUCACACAUUCGUAAUAAUUUUCUUUAUAGUAAUACCUAUUAUAAUUGGUGGAUUUGGUAAUUGACUUGUUCCACUAAUAAUUGGUGCACCAGAUAUAGCAUUUCCACGAAUAAAUAAUAUAAGUUUUUGAUUACUACCACCUUCACUAACCGUUCUUCUUACAUCUUCUAUAGUAGAUAAUGGUGCUGGUACAGGAUGAACAGUUUACCCUCCUCUAGCAGGAGCUAUUGCACACGGGGGUGCAUCUGUAGAUCUAGCUAUUUUUUCACUACACUUAGCAGGUGUAUCAUCUAUUCUUGGUGCAGUAAAUUUCAUUACAACAGCAAUUAAUAUACGAUCAGAAAGUAUAACUUUAGAUCAAACACCUUUAUUUGUAUGAUCAGUAGCUAUUACAGCAUUACUUCUCCUUCUUUCACUUCCAGUUUUAGCAGGAGCUAUUACUAUAUUAUUAACAGAUCGAAAUUUAAAUACAUCAUUCUUUGACCCUGCAGGAGGGGGUGACCCAAUUCAAUAUCAACAUCUAUUUUGAUUCUUUGGACACCCAGAAGUUUAUAUUUUAAUUCUACCGGGGUUCGGAAUUAUUUCACAUAUUGUAUGUCAAGAAAGAGGAAAAAUUGAAUCAUUUGGAACAUUAGGUAUAAUUUAUGCUAUACUAUCAAUUGGACUAAUAGGAUUUAUUGUAUGAGCACAUCAUAUAUUUACAGUAGGAAUGGAUGUUGACACACGAGCAUAUUUUACAUCAGCAACAAUAAUUAUUGCUGUACCUACAGGAAUUAAGGUAUUUAGAUGAUUAGCUACAUUAUAUGGAACUAAAUUCAAGUUCAAUCCACCAUUAUUAUGAGCUCUAGGAUUUAUUUUCCUAUUUACAAUUGGUGGAUUAACAGGAUUAGUAUUAGCAAAUUCAUCACUUGAUAUUGUAUUACAUGAUACAUAUUAUGUAGUAGCCCACUUUCAUUAUGUAUUAUCUAUAGGAGCAGUAUUUGCAAUUAUAGGAA